rnacentral:rRNA from 1 species
AGCAUAUCAAUAAGCGGAGGAAAAGAAACUAACAAGGAUUCCCUUAGUAACGGCGAGCGAACAGGGAACAGCUCAUAACCGAAUCCCAUUGGCUUGAUGUCUUUGGGAAAUGUGGUGUUUGGGUGUCUUUAUGUGAUGUUUAUCCAGCUCUAAGUCCACGUGAUUGUGGCUCAUGGUCCACGGAGGGUGCAAGACCCGUAAGAGUUGGAUAUUCAUUACUAUUUCUCACCCUAGAGUCGGGUUGUUUGGGAUUGCAGCCCAAAGUGGUGGUAAACUCCAUCAAAAGCUAAAUACAACACGAGUCCGAUAGCGAACAAGUACCAUGAGGUAAAGUUGAAAAGAACUUUGAAGAGAGAGUUCAAUAGUACGUGAAACCGCUCAGAGGUAAGCGGGUAGAGCUGAAAGUGGUGUGAUGAUUGAGGUCUGCUGGUUUAUGCAUGUUAGUGUGUGGAUUCUUAUGGACCACUACUGGUAUGUUUUCAUUGCUAGUUGGCCGUUUAUCUCAUGCCUUAACCACAAUCAGCAUGAAGCAUGAGUCUAUCUUCACUUAGAGGUACCCAGCGCUUUUCGGAGCAUUGGUUUUUAUAAUGAGUGAUAUUGGAGCUUGUGUCUUGCUGUGCAUGGCGGUGCAAAUUAUGCACAAGUUGUGGCAUAGUCGGGUGGUACGUUUGUGACUCAUUGAGUUGCAGGUGUACUUUUAUAUCUGGCUAUUGUUAUGGCCUCUGUGUCUUGUGCCAAUAAUUCGUGGUUUUUUGUAAGUUAUCUACCCGGCCCGUCUUGAAACACGGACCAAGGAGUCUAACAUGUACGCGAGUCAUUGGGUUCUACGAAACCUAAAGGCGAAUUGAAAGAGAAGGUUCACUUUCGUGAGCUGAGGUAUGAUCUGUGCUCCCACGGGGGUGUGGCGCAAUACCGGCUUGUCUCAUGUUUUUUAAACGAGGCAACGCAAGAGCGUACAUGAUGGUACCCGAAAGAUGGUGAACUAUGCUUGCAUAGGUUGAAGCCAGAGGAAACUCUGGUGGAGGACCGAAGCGCUUCUGACGUGCAAAUCGAUCGUCUGAUGUGAGUAUAGGGGCGAAAGACUAAUCGAACCAUCUAGUAGCUGGUUCCCUCCGAAGUUUCCCUCAGGAUAGCUGGCACUUGGGAAAUAAACAGUUUUAUCCGGUAAAGCGAAUGAUUAGAAGUAUUGGGGACGAAAUGUCCUCAACUUAUUCUCAAACUUUAAAUGGGUAAGAUGCCUCACUCUCUUAAAUCAUGGAGUGCUGACAUCGAAUGUAAGUGCCUAGUGGGCCAUUUUUGGUAAGCAGAACUGGCGAUGUGGAAUGAACCAAAAGCGGUGGUUAAGGUGCCUAAAUGAGCGCUCAUGACAAACCACAAAAGGUGUUGGUUGAUAUAGACAGCAGGACGGUGGCCAUGGAAGUUGGAAUCCGCUAAGGAGUGUGUAACAACUCACCUGCCGAAUCAACCAGCCCUGAAAAUGGAUGGCGGUGGAGCGUUCUACCUAUACCGCGCCAUUACUGUAUGCUUCGUGCACGGAAACAGUAAUGUGUAGGAGGGCGACAUGGUAAGCAUUGAAGCUGCGAAUGUAAAUUCGGGUGGAGCUGCCAUGUGUGCAGAUCUUGGUGGUAGUAGCAAGUAUUCAAGUGAGAUUCUUGAAGACCGACGUG